rnacentral:lncRNA from 1 species
GGAUACUUAGCCUACUAUUAAACAUGCCCAUAUACGGCGGAGCUGGGAAAUGGCUCCUAAACGUACAGUUGGAAACUAUCUUGUUACAAACUAUCCAUAAAUAUAAUUUCUUUAUACAUUUCAAAAGGCCUACCGCAGAACAAAUGUAGUCAAUCUUCUGAUGCAGUAAAGCUGAUUGUUGUUGGUUGUAAACUAAACACAUUUAUAUUACAUAUAUGGUUGAUGUCAGGUUCCCAGUUUCUGGGAACUCUUUUGCAGGUUUUCUCCUGCGGGGGGCGUGGUGGAGCCAUGCCUCAGCCGCAGGUGGUGCCGGGGACUGGUGCACCUGCAGACUAUCGGUAAUCAAGCCACCUAUUUAUGGACUGUUCUCACGGUUGGCCAGCAUUGGCGUGUUUUGUCUGAUUCGGAAUACCCUGGCUAUACCCACCUGGACUAUCGUAAGACUUUUUCCUCCGUGGAUUACUUUUGAACCCGUUCCUCGGACUAUCGUUUAUCUAUUUCCUUCGUGGACUGCUUUUGACCCCGCUCGGGAUUUUUUGUUGUAAGUUUUCAUUUUCCUGUGGGUUAAGAACUGAGUCGUGGUCUCCACGCCUUUUGAGUUGCACGAUUUUCUGUGAACUUAAAUAAAGCUUCUCAAACGAUCCGCCACAGUGUCCUGCCUGCUUUCGGGUCCUGAUACAACCGCCCAUAACAUCCAGCCGUAUAUUCGAUGGCCUGCAAUUUAAAGUAAGCCUCAUUCAUAUAGGUCUCGCUUGACCGGCGCCAUUUUAGGGGAUCCUUACGCGUAGGUGUGCCUCUCAUCGAUUGGCGGAGCGUUUACCGUAGUGCACCUACCAAAGGCGCAAAGCAGACACAAGGCGCUCCAUAUAAGAAUUUUAUGGUCGUAAAAAAACGGUAGUUACUCUUCCACAACACUUAAGCCACAGUGAAACAUGGGGUCCUCAUUAAUACAAAUAUUUGGACACACACAGAGGGUUGUGCUUGUUUUCAAGAUAUACUUUAUAAACCCCCAUAGGGAAAUUGAAUUGUAAUAGCAGCAUAGACAUGAAGGAAUGUAACUAUAGUGUAUAGACAAAUAGCAGCAGGUGUAUUUACAAAGUAUAGAAAUAAAAUACAAAUAAGGUUAGAAUGUAGGCAUAGAGAUAAAAACAAUAAUAAAUUAUAAGCAUAUUUACAUACAUAUAGAAAUAAGAUUAAAACAUAAGCAUUAAACAAUUAAUGUAAUUGAAUGGGUUUGGAGGGCACCCGAGCUGAUGCAUAAAUCCAGUCAAGAGAGUACAGCUCUGACAGGAGGAAUUAUACAGUGUAAUGGCAGGAAUGACUUCCUCCACCGUUCUUAGAAGCUGCUUCUCAGUUUGUCCACUGUUAUGGAGCGGGUGGGAGGGAUUGUCCAGGAUUUAUUCCCAUCCACUUGCACAUCCUAAUCAACACAGUCAACCUUCAAAGUUCAUCCAUACAAAGUGAAUCUAUGAGAUCGCGCAUGUUUCAGUUGCUAAAAUUGCGUCAACAUUUAUUUGAUCAAACAUCACAUAAAUAUUGCUCACUAUACAUUUCCAUCAACAUGACUGCUGGCAGCUUUUCCUGCAUGGCUCUUUCUUUAUGUCUUCAUUGUUAUUUUACUUUUUAGGGCGGAACCACGGAUACUUGUUCACAGUAGUCUUCUGCUCUAGCUGGCUGGCUGCUGGCUGGCUGCUGGCUGCUGAUCUUUUAAUACAUAUAUUCUUGCUCUUCUGCUGCUUUUGCUGGGUCUAGAAAAGAUGGACAGAGCUGUGAAAGGUGGGCCUGGAUUUUCUUAUUUGUUGCUUAUUAUUAGUUUAUUAAUUAUUAUUGAAACAGCUUUGAGUUUUUUUCUUCAAAAUUAAAAAGAUAAAGGAGGCCUUGAGUUACAUGAGCUUGUGGCCAUUUUUUUGAGCUAUUGUGAGUUUUAGGGGACCAAUUUUUCAAAGACUUAAAAUUCGAAAAUCUAAGAUUUAAAGUCGGUCAUCUGUUGAGUUUCCGGUGACACCAACAAAGGCCUUACCUUUUGUCCCCCAAACUCACCUUGUUGGUCUGCUGUUGACUCUGUCUGCCCUCAACCGGUUUCUCCGAUUUUACUUCAUUCUGUUCUUUUUUUUCCGUUUUUCCCUUCAAUUUCUUUUUUAAAUUUUUGAAUAUGUUCCUGGAGGGAAAUAAGCAGGAAUUUAAAACCAUUUAAAACUUAUCAUUUAGGUGGAAAUAAUAAAUAGAAAAUCAUUUGUUUUUCCAGAAAUCUGACAUUUCUUACAGGAAAGAAAAUUUCUUUGGAGCUUCUGUAGAUGUCAUCGCCUCUGGUUGUGCUUUAGCAGAACGUCCAGCAGACGAAACUAGAAAAGAUUGUGUUGGGUUUUCUUAUACUGUGCAGUAUUUUACAAUUUAAUAUCCUGAUAAUAACGUCUACACAAAUCAAAUAUGCUUCACUGCAAUGACAUGUAAUACAGUACAAUAUUCUAAUAAACUGUAUAGCUUUAUAUGGAACACACAACGAACCUUUACCAGGUUCCCCCUUCUUAUUAACAUCCAGCUUGUUGUGAGUCUCCUGUUCACUUCCCCCUGAGUCACUGGGUAGCCAAGGACGGAUGGACCAUAUCCGCAUGACCUCCUGCUGCUGACUGGUGUCUCCUCCAGUUUCAGAUUCUUCAUCUGAACUGAUUAUUGAGUAAGAAGGGUAUCUGUGGUGUUGGAGAGACAGUUUUUAAGAUCAGUUACACUGAAGAGUUUCAGCAAAAAUAUUUAAAGAGAGACGAUCAAUAGUCUAACAUUGAUGGGGGACGACAAGAAAGAGUCGAGUUCAAAACUGAAUUUUCUUCCAUGGAAUUGACUUACUUUGGUUUGGCUCUGGGCGUCUUGUCCGGUUCUGCCGGCUGGUCCAGGAGUUCACUGACUGGUGCUACAGGCUUUACCUGGAUGUCUUUAGAGGGCAGCCUAAGCUGAGAUCUCCCUGGCAUCUCUGAACACAUAAAGUGACCAUUUUAACACCAUCACCAA